CCCUUAGAUGUUCGGGGCCGCAUGCGCGCUACACUGAAGGAAUCAGCACGUCUUUCUCCUUGUCCGAAAGGACUGGGUAACCCGCUGAACCUCCUUCGUGCUAGGGAUUGGGGCUUGUAAUUCUUCCCCAUGAACGAGGAAUUCCCAGUAAGCGCGAGUCAUAAGCUCGCGUUGAUUACGUCCCUGCCCUUUGUACACACCGCCCGUCGCUACUACCGAUUGGAUGGUUUAGUGAGAUCCUCGGAUUGGUCCCGGAGCGGCCUCUGGUCGUGCCGGAGUGCCGAAAAGAAUGUCGAACUUGAUCAUCUAGAGGAAGUAAAAGUCGUAACA
rnacentral:rRNA from 1 species